rnacentral:rRNA from 1 species
GACGUAGGGCGCGAGCGUUGUCCGGAUUUAUUGGGCGUAAAGAGCUCGUAGGUGGCUUGUCGCGUCUGCCGUGAAAGCCCGUGGCUUAACUACGGGUCUGCGGUGGAUACGGGCAGGCUAGAGGCUGGUAGGGGCAAGCGGAAUUCCUGGUGUAGCGGUGAAAUGCGUAGAGAUCGGGAGGAAGGCCGGUGGCGAAGGCGACGCUCUGGGUAGAUACUGACGCUGAGGUGCGAAAGCGUGGGGAGCAAACAGG